AAAGCAGGACGCAAUUGCAGUGCUAACUUUUGUGGUAGUACUGUCAUUAUACCUGCUGAGAGCAUCAUCCUGCUUUGGAGCUAUGAGAGCGGUCAUCUUUUAUAUGACAUGUGAAUGCUCUGUUGCGGAGACACUU